GAUGAACGCUGGCGGCGUGCCUAAUACAUGCAAGUCGAGCGAACAGAUAAGGAGCUUGCUCCUUUGACGUUAGCGGCGGACGGGUGAGUAACACGUGGGUAACCUACCUAUAAGACUGGAAUAACUCCGGGAAACCGGGGCUAAUGCCGGAUAACAUUUAGAACCGCAUGGUUCUAAAGUGAAAGAUGGUUUUACUCUCACUUAUAGAUGGACCCGCGCCGUAUUAGCUAGUUGGUAAGGUAACGGCUUACCAAGGCAACGAUACGUAGCCGACCUGAGAGGGUGAUCGGCCACACUGGAACUGAGACACGGUCCGGGCUCCUACGGGAGGCAGCAGUAGGGAAUCUUCCGCAAUGGGCGAAAGCCUGACGGAGCAACGCCGCGUGAGUGAUGAAGGUCUUCGGAUCGUAAAACUCUGUUAUUAGGGAAGAACAAAUGUGUAAGUAACUGUGCACGUCUUGACGGUACCUAAUCAGAAAGCCACGGCUAACUACGUG
rnacentral:rRNA from 1 species